rnacentral:rRNA from 1 species
AUUGAACGCUGGCGGCAGGCCUAACACAUGCAAGUCGAACGAGUGGCGGACGGGUGAGUAAUGUCUGGGAAACUGCCUGAUGGAGGGGGAUAACUACUGGAAACGGUAGCUAAUACCGCAUACCAUCAGAUGUGCCCAGAUGGGAUUAGCUUGUUGGUGGGGUAACGGCUCACCAAGGCGACGAUCCCUAGCUGGUCUGAGAGGAUGACCAGCCAACCUGGAACUGGGAAACGGGCCAGACCCCUACGGGAGGCAACAGGGGGGAAUAUUUCAACAUGGGGGGAAGCCUGAUGCAGCCAAGCCGGGUGUAUGAAGAAGGGCUUCGGGUUGUAAAGUACUUUUAGCGGGGAGGCGUUACCCGCAGAAGAAGCACCGGCUAACUCCGUGCCAGCAGCCGCGGUAAUAC